GGGGAAGUAGCUCAAUGGUAGAGCACAUAAUCAUAUCAAUUGUUUGGUACAAUUUCGAUAGUAUUGUUUCAUGCAGAAACAAGGAUCGAGGUUCGAAUCCUCGCUUCUCCA
rnacentral:tRNA from 1 species